CGCUAUGCUAAGCAUUGACCAAGCCUGAAGAGGGCACAGAGAUGAGGCCCAGCAGCCUAUAAAAAUAUCGUUUUUCUAAAAUUCUCUAAAAAUGCAUGUGCUUCUGGUUUUGGCAGCUUGCAUCUAAAAUUGGACCAAUUAAAGAGAUUAGUUUGGUCCCUGUGUGAAAAUGAUGUAUAAAUUCUUGAAGAGGGUCAUCUUUCUGGCCAUUACCUGGAUUUGGGAGGCACAACUAAUCCUCAGCUGAAAACAGUCCUACGGCUGUGCGAAGACACUGUCUGUUAAGGACCCUCUAUUCUCCAGUCAACCCAGAGACCUUUUCCCAUUCUCUUCCUCAUACAUUCUUCUAGAAAGUUGGUGGACCACUGGGAGCAGGACUGUGUGAUAGAUCUUCCUACAAAGUUUAGAGAGCUUCCGGGCUAGAGCAGAAGAAGGGCACCAAGCCAGCAUGCAACAGGAGGCUGCGGACUCCCUUAUCUCCGUUUGUGUGUGUAAGCCCAAGGUGCAGAAUUGAGGGAAAACCACAGACUAUUAGUUACAAUGGAAAUCCAGACACGAUGGCUUCAGCUGGGCUGUGAAGGAAAGGGCAGUGUGAUGUGGCUUUCUUGGAAGACACAAGUUCAUACUCACCCUGAUGGGGCGCUGAAAACAGAUGGAAGAAAUGAUUCCGUCUGAGAGAGGCUGGGAAGGCCUCUGUGUUGGGCAGUUGGCCUGUUUGUGUGGUGGAGUAAGAUUCUGAACACCACAGACCUCCAGAGAAAAUGACUGCUAACAGACUCUCCUCCAUUCCCAGAGGAGGUUCUGUUUCCUGCCUCCUGGCAGGUGGCCUUUGCGACUCAGUCCUGACAGGAAGGAAGGGUUCCUAUGUCUAAGAAGUAGGAUCAGUGUGCAGGGAGAUGACUGCCACCCUUAGAGGCAAUAUUUACUUGCAGAUGAGUUAGAUUUGCAAGUGAGAGACUCUCACAUCUGCCUUCCUUCAGCAAAUUCAUCCAGUGCUCCAGGCAUGUGAUUCCAAGGCUCCUCACUGGAGACAGGAAGAGAAGCAAUGGGGUGGGAGGGGGGCUCUCUGAUGGCCCUGUAGAGCAUUCAGGUCAAUCUCACAGAACACAAAAUGUGAGUCUAUCUCAGUUUUUUAAAUUAAAAAAAUAAAUAAGGGCCAGUGAGAUAGCUCAGCCAAUAAAGAUACU